AAUUAUCUCAAAAAAUCUAUGUUCUCUAAAUUAGGUUUUAGUUUUAGACGUUCCUCUCUUCUACGCCUACAUGAAGAAAACCCUUCUCCAGCCACCGAUCUUCAACUAUCAACCCUCUAAAUCAUCUAUAGCAGAUCACGACAUGAAGAAAACCCUUCUCGUGCCACCGAUCUUCAACUAUAAACGCCCUAAAUCAUCUAUAGCAGAUCACGACAUGAAGAAAACCCUUCUCGUGCCACCGAUCUUCAACUAUCAACGCCCUAGAUUAUCCCUUUCUUCUUAUUGCAUGUAUCGGAUAUCUUUGGUGGCGUAGUGUGUAUGCACUCUAGGUGUUCAAUGUAUUGUCUCAUAUAACUAUUGCUACAAGGAUCUCAUUUUAAUACUUGUAUAUGUUUCUUCUGAUUAUCCUAUUGCAAUAUGCUAAGUUGAUUUGUUUAAUAUCAUGAUGUUCUAAGUUGUUUGUUAGAGAUACUGCUCACACAUCAUGUGUUUGGUGAUGAUAAAAUUUGAUCAGUUGGUUAUCAGUUGUUUCCUUCUAAUUUAAUUUAUUUAGUAUUUCACUUCAACGACUCCAUGUAUUUGUAUUUUCAUUCGUGUUGACAUUGCGGCUGACUUUGAUCUUAAAAGACAGCCAAGGCCUCAAGGGGUUCAACGGUAGUUCCAAGGCCAAACCAUGUCAUUGACCGUUGACUCACUAUUUUGUGAAGGACUCAUCAUCUGUUUUGACUAUAAAUGGUCGAUGGAUGACACCGCUCGGAUGUAGCAUUGAUCGACUGUGGAACUUAACAUAUAAACUAAACUUGUGUUGUUAUGCGACAAUCAUUGUUGAUCCAUAAUCGAUCUGUACAUAGACCGUGAUGCAUUUGUUAAAGACUUUUUUUGUGUGUUUUUUGGCUAAGAGAAAAAUACAAUAAUAUAAGAUCACAUAAUCAAUUUUAAGUGAUAUUUAAUUUAUAUAUGAUCUUUAUUAUUAUCAUCAAUAUAUACAAAUAACUGCUCGAUGAAAUGCUUCAACUAUGCUUAUAAAGUGUAUAUUUGGCAAUUUAUUUUUCAAUGCUACUUGUAAUUUGCAGAUUCCUUGAUACAUGUCAUCUACUCUUAUUGUAUUUUUUUCAUUUUUUUGGAUCCAGGAUAUAUAACUUGAUCCUAGGAAUGAGGAUAGCUAUGCAACAGCAAAGGCAAGUCCAAGUUUUAUCUUUUAUUGGUUACUUACAAAAUUUAAUUUUUUUAUGUAUAUCUCAAUGAAUUUUGAAUGAUUUUCACAAGUAAUUUUAUAACGUGGGUCCAAAUGGUGUUACGGUAAGCUCUUUAUAUUAAUACAAGCCUAAAUGGAGUUAGAAUUAUGUUAAAGAUAAGUUUGAUUACAAUCUGGUGCUAAAAGGGGCUGAAAGGCAUGAUUGGUUAAAAUCUUACAGUUUUUUUAUAAUUUAAGCUUACGUCAUGAUUGAAAUGGUAGAUUUUGUGAACUUAUUUAUAAUUAGUUUAAUAAAAUUAGGCAAACUAGGUAAAAAGAAUAAAUUCCAUCAUAGGAAGAAUUCAUGGCCUGCUGAAGAAUUUGCGAAUAGAAGUACUCUGCAACAGAUUUCUGUAUCCCGAGAUGGUGGGAGUAAAAAAUACACCUGGUCAACACAACGGGACAAGAAAUGACUGAAUUACUAUGGGGUCGUUGGAAGGAAGCAUCAUGAACUUGAGGUCUGGAUGAGAAAAUCCUUUUCCUUGGACUCAAAAGAGAUCCCAGGUGGUGCUAAUGGAGCCGACUUUGUUGUUGCCUUCACUCGAGUCUUCA